rnacentral:rRNA from 1 species
CCUACGGGUGGCAGCAGUAGGGAAUCUUCCACAAUGGGCGAAAGCCUGAUGGAGCAACGCCGCGUGGGUGAAGAAGGUCUUCGGAUCGUAAAACCCUGUUGUUAGAGAAGAAAGUGCGUGAGAGUAACUGUUCACGUUUCGACGGUAUCUAACCAGAAAGCCACGGCUAACUACGUGCCAGCAGCCGCGGUAAUACGUAGGUGGCAAGCGUUAUCCGGAUUUAUUGGGCGUAAAGGGAACGCAGGCGGUCUUUUAAGUCUGAUGUGAAAGCCUUCGGCUUAACCGGAGUAGUGCAUUGGAAACUGGGAGACGUGAGUGAAGAAGGGGAGAGUGGAACUCCAGGGGUAGCGGUGAAAUGCGUAGAUAGAGGGAAGAACACCAGUGGCGAAAGCGGCUCUCUGGUCUGUAACUGACGCUGAGGUUCGAAAGCGUGGGUAGCAAACAGGAUUAGAUACCCCUGUAGUC